GGGUGGGGUUCAUCCCACCCAGACCACAGAGACUGAAAAUAAGAAAGGGGUGAGGCCUAAGGGACAAUCAGGAUGUUUUUCAGAGAGAAGUGUGGAUGCUGGACAGGAAGAACCACAGAUACCAGAUACGGGACAUACUUUAUUCAGCUGGGUGCUGAAAAAGAAUCUUGGAAAUUAGGAAACUGAAUGAGGCCUCAUUUCACACUCAGAAUGUGGGUUGCAAUAGUCACUUCCUCUGCUGCUGGG
rnacentral:lncRNA from 10 species